UGGGGAAUAUUGGACAAUGGGCGCAAGCCUGAUCCAGCCAUGCCGCGUGAGUGAUGAAGGCCCUAGGGUUGUAAAGCUCUUUCACCGGUGAAGAUAAUGACGGUAACCGGAGAAGAAGCCCCGGCUAACUUCGUGCCAGCAGCCGCGGUAAUACGAAGGGGGCUAGCGUUGUUCGGAUUUACUGGGCGUAAAGCGCACGUAGGCGGACUUUUAAGUCAGGGGUGAAAUCCCGGGGCUCAACCCCGGAACUGCCUUUGAUACUGGAAGUCUUGAGUAUGGUAGAGGUGAGUGGAAUUCCGAGUGUAGAGGUGAAAUUCGUAGAUAUUCGGAGGAACACCAGUGGCGAAGGCGGCUCACUGGACCAUUACUGACGCUGAGGUGCGAAAGCGUGGGGAGCAAAACAGGAUUAGAUACCCUGGUAGUCCACGCCGUAAACGAUGAAUGUUAGCCGUUGGGGAGUUUACUCUUCAGUGGCGCAGCUAACGCAUUAAACAUUCCGCCUGGGGAGUAC
rnacentral:rRNA from 1 species